GAUGAACGCUGGCGGCGUGCUUAACACAUGCAAGUCGAACGGAAAGGCUCCUGCUUGCAGGGGUACUCGAGUGGCGAACGGGUGAGUAACACGUGGGUGAUCUGCCCUGCACUUCGGGAUAAGCCUGGGAAACUGGGUCUAAUACCGGAUAGGACGAUGGUUUGGAUGCCAUUGUGGAAAGUUUUUCGGUGUGGGAUGAGCUCGCGGCCUAUCAGCUUGUUGGUGGGGUAAUGGCCUACCAAGGCGUCGACGGGUAGCCGGCCUGAGAGGGUGUACGGCCACAUUGGGACUGAGAUAAGGCCCAGACUCCUACGGGAGGCAGCAGUGGGGAAUAUUGCACAAUGGGCGCAAGCCUGAUGCAGCGACGCCGCGUGGGGGAUGACGGCCUUCGGGUUGUAAACUCCUUUCGCUAGGGACGAAGCGCAAGUGACGGUACCUGGAGAAGAAGCACCGGCUAACUACGUG
rnacentral:rRNA from 1 species